GAUGAACGCCGGCGGCGUGCUUAACACAUGCAAGUUGAACGGAGCCAUCUGGAACAAGUUUUCGGACAAGGGAAAGAUGUGCUUAGUGGCGGACGGGUGAGUAACGCGUGAGUAACCUGCCUUGGAGUGGGGAAUAACACAUCGAAAGGUGUGCUAAUACCGCAUGAAGCAACGAGAUCGCAUGGUUUUGUUGCCAAAGAUUUAUCGCUCUGAGAUGGACUCGCGUCUGAUUAGCUAGUUGGUGAGGUAGUGGCUCACCAAGGCGACGAUCAGUAGACGGACUGAGAGGUUGACCGGCCACAUUGGGACUGAGACACGGCCCAGACUCCUACGGGAGGCAGCAGUGGGGAAUAUUGGGCAAUGGGCGCAAGCCUGACCCAGCAACGCCGCGUGAAGGAAGAAGGCCCUCGGGUUGUAAACUUCUUUUAUUCGAGACGAAACAAAUGACGGUACCGAAUGAAUAAGCCACGGCUAACUACGUGCCAGCAGCCGCCGUAAUAC
rnacentral:rRNA from 1 species